GACGAACGCUGGCGGCGUGCCUAAUACAUGCAAGUAGAACGCACAGUUUAUACCGUAGCUUGCUACACCAUAGACUGUGAGUUGCGAACGGGUGAGUAACGCGUAGGUAACCUGCCUGGUAGCGGGGGAUAACUAUUGGAAACGAUAGCUAAUACCGCAUAAUAUUAAUUAUUGCAUGAUAAUUAAUUGAAAGGUGCAAUUGCACCACUACCGGAUGGACCUGCGUUGUAUUAGCUAGUAGGUGAGGUAACGGCUCACCUAGGCGACGAUACAUAGCCGACCGGAGAGGGUGAGCGGCCACACUGGGACUGUGACACGGCCCAGAGUCCUACGGGAGGCAGCAGUAGGGAAUCUUCGGCAAUGGACGGAAGUCUGACCGAGCAACGCCGAGUGAGUGAAGAAGGUUGUCGGAUCGUAAAGCUCUGUUGUAAGAGAAGAACGGGUGUGAGAGUGGAAAGUUCACACUGUGACGGUAACUUACCAGAAAGGGACGGCUAACUACGUG
rnacentral:rRNA from 1 species